AGUUAAACAUUGAUGAGGAAUAGUAAAAUGUGCACUGUUUAUUAUAGAGAGGGAGCCAAUUGCUGAAAGGGUCCUAUAAGCAGCCAUUUGAACCUGUCUCUGAGUUCUGUAUCAUUUAAAGAUUACAGCGGGUUUACAUCCCGUUAUCAUGUAUGAGUGUAAAGCUUUGCUUUAAAUUAGGGUGGUACCGCCAAGUGAUUGGUCCCUAUU
rnacentral:ncRNA from 1 species